rnacentral:rRNA from 1 species
AAGUGGAGCAAUCCAUGAGUAAAGUGGCGCACGGGUGAGUAACACGUGACUAACCUACCCUCGAGCGGGGAAUAACCUCGGGGAACCGGGACUUUUACCGCAUAAUAUCUACGGAUCAAAUGCGUAAGCAGCUUGAGGAGGGGGUCGCGGCUGAUUAGCUAGUUGGCGGGGUAAUGGCCCACCAAGGCAGUGAUCAGUAGCCGGCCUGAGAGGGCGCACGGCCACACUGGAACUGAAACACGGUCCAGACUCCUACGGGAGGCAGCAGUGGGGAAUUUUGCGCAAUGGGGGAAACCCUGACGCAGCAACGCCGCGUGGAGGAUGACGCCCCUUGGG